rnacentral:rRNA from 1 species
UACGUAGGGUGCGAGCGUUGUCCGGAAUUAUUGGGCGUAAAGGGCUCGUAGGCGGUUUGUCACGUCGGGAGUGAAAACUCGGGGCUUAACCCCGAGCCUGCUUCCGAUACGGGCUGACUAGAGGUAUGCAGGGGAGAACGGAAUUCCUGGUGUAGCGGUGAAAUGCGCAGAUAUCAGGAGGAACACCGGUGGCGAAGGCGGAUCUCUGGGCCAUUACUGACGCCGAGGAGCGAAAGCGUGGGGAGCGAACAGG